UCCCUGGUGGCUCAGAGGUUAAAGCAUCUGCCUGGAAUGCAUGAGACCAGGGUUCGAUCCCUGGAUCGGGAA
rfam:TPA: Bos taurus chromosome 15, whole genome shotgun sequence.